rnacentral:rRNA from 1 species
UAAACGAUGGAUACUAGGUGUGGGGGGAUCGACCCCUUCCGUGCCGCAGUUAACGCAAUAAGUAUCCCACCUGGGGAGUACGGCCGCAAGGCUGAAACUCAAAGGAAUUGACGGGGGCCCGCACAAGCGGUGGAGCAUGUGGUUUAAUUCGAUGCAACGCGAAGAACCUUACCGGGAUUUGACAUCCCCUGCGAUCUUUCGAAAGAAGGAGUUCUCCUCGGAGACAGGGAGACAGGUGGUGCAUGGUUGUCGUCAGCUCGUGUCGUGAGAUGUUAGGUUAAGUCCUGCAACGAGCGCAACCCCUAUUUUUAGUUGCUAACACUUCGGGUGAGCACUCUAAAGAGACUGCCGGUGAUAAACCGGAGGAAGGUGGGGAUGACGUCAAAUCAUCAUGCCCUUUAUAUCCCGGGCUACACACGUGCUACAAUGGCUCAAACAAAGGGAAGCGACCUGGCGACAGGUAGCGGAUCCCGUAAAAUGGGUCACAGUUCGGAUUGCAGGCUGCAACUCGCCUGCAUGAAGUAGGAAUCGCUAGUAAUCGCAGGUCAGCAUACUGCGGUGAAUACGUUCCCGGGCCUUGUACACACCGCCCGUCACACCACGAAAGUCUGUCACGCCCGAAGCCGGUGGCCUAACCGCAAGGAGGGAGCCGUCGAAGGCAGGACAGGUGAUUGGGGUGAAGUCGUAACAAGGUAACCGUAAAGGG